AUUGAACGCUGGCGGCAUGCCUUACACAUGCAAGUCGAACGGCAGCACGGGAGCAAUCCUGGUGGCGAGUGGCGAACGGGUGAGUAAUAUAUCGGAACGUGCCCAGUCGUGGGGAUAACGUAGCGAAAGCUACGCUAAUACCGCAUACGAUCUAAGGAUGAAAGCGGGGGAUUCGCAAGAACCUCGCGCGAUUGGGGCGGCUGAUAUCAGAUUAGGUUGUUGGUGAGGUAAAAGCUCACCAAGCCGACGAUCUGUAGCUGGUCUGAGAGGACGACCAGCCACACUGGGACUGAGACACGGCCCAGACUCCUACGGGAGGCAGCAGUGGGGAAUUUUGGACAAUGGGCGCAAGCCUGAUCCAGCAAAUGCCGCGUGCAGGAUGAAGGCC
rnacentral:rRNA from 1 species